AGUGAACGCUGGCGGUCGGCCUAACACAUGCAAGUCGAACGGCAGCACAGAGGAGCUUGCUCCUUGGGUGGUGAGUGGCGGACGGGUGAGGAAUACAUCGGAAUCUACUCUGUCGGGGGGGAUAACGUAGGGAAACUUACGCUAAUACCGCCUACGACCUACGGGUGAAAGCAGGGGAUCUUCGGACCUUGCGCGAUUGAAUGAGCCGAUGUCGGAUUAGCUAGUUGGCGGGGUAAAGGCCCACCAAGGCGACGAGCCGUAGCUGGUCUGAGAGGAUGAUCAGCCACACUGGAACUGGGACACAGUCCAGACUCCUACGGGAGGCAGCAGUGGGAAAUAUUGGACAAUGGGCGCAAGCCUGAUCCAGCCAUACCGCGUGGGUGAAGAAGGCCUUCGGGUUGUAAAGCCCUUUUGUUGGGAAAGAAAUCCAGCUGGCUAAUACCCGGUUGGGAUGACGGUACCCAAAGAAUAAGCACCGGCUAACUUCGUGCCAGCCGCCGCGGUAA
rnacentral:rRNA from 1 species